UAAUCUGCCCACUGAUUAAUAAAUUAAAGGGCUGCAGUAUAUUGACUGUACAAAGGUAGCAUAAUCAUUAGUCAUUUAAUUGAUGACUUGUAUGAAAGAUUGGAUGAAAUAUAAACUGUCUCUUAAUUAAAUUUAGAAUUUAAUUUUUUAAUUAAAAAGUUAAAAUGAAUUAAAAAGACGAGAAGACCCUAUAGAGUUUUAUAAAUAAAUUAAUUAAGAUUAUAAAUAUAAAAAUAAAUUAAAAUUAAAUUAUUUAUUUUAUUGGGGUGAUAGAAAAAUAAAUAAAACUUUUUUUAUAGAAAACAUAUAUAAAUGAUUAAAUGAUCCAAUAUUAUUGAUUAUAAGAAAAAAUUACCUUAGGGAUAACAGCGUAAUUUUUUUUUUUAGUUCAAAUAAAAAAAAGAGUUUGCGACCUCGAUGUUGGAUUAAGAUAAAAUAUAAAUGCAGAAG
rnacentral:rRNA from 1 species